UUAAUCUUUCAGCUCUGUAGAAGAUGCACAUCUGAGAUCUGAUGCAGAUUACUCCACGCAGCAUCCAGUUAAGGAACAUGAAUCGUGGUUUAUGAAGCCUCAAACACCUCAUUCUCUAAGAUCACAACUUAAGGAGAAAGAAGAAGAGUUGAAAUACCUUCAGUUUCUUCAAGAAGUUACAAAUGAUAUUUUGAUUAGAAGUUGUUACUGCAAGGAGUAAGUACUUGACAUUUCUUCUUAUUUAGUCAUCUGAAAAAAGAAAUUGUGACUAAUUUUAUAAUCAGUAUGAAGUAUUGGAGGACUUGUGAAGAUGAAGGCCGUAAUGCUAUUCUUGAAAUCGAUCCCUUUGAUUUGUCCUUCUUUUUUCUCCUGGCUUUUACACUUUGUAAUAGGAUAACCAAUAACACACACAGCUGAGAAACAAAAUGGGAAAUAUUUGCAGUGAUCUUCCUAUUUCCUGAAAACAUGGAGUAGAUGUAAACAGACAUUAUGUUCUCAGAGUCUGUUCGUAGGACUGAGCCAUUGCAUAAAAUGGUGAGAUGCAUUGUUGUUAUCGAGGUGGCUCUGUGUUCCAGUUCUGGUUUGAAUUGGUUUCUCCGAGCCUAGAUAAAGUAACACAGAGCUACAUUGAGUCUUCCGUAAUAAAGUGCCGCAGAG